rnacentral:rRNA from 1 species
GAUGAACGCUGGCGGCGUGCCUAAUACACGCAAGUCGAGCGAACAGACGAGGAGCUUGCUCCUCUGACGUUAGCGGCGGACGGGUGAGUAACACGUGGAUAACCUACCUAUAAGACUGGGAUAACUUCGGGAAACCGGAGCUAAUAUCGGAUAAUAUAUUGAACCGCAUGGUUCAAUAGUGAAAGACGGUUUUGCUGUCACUUAUAGAUGGAUCCGCGCCGCAUUAGCUAGUUGGUAAGGUAACGGCUUACCAAGGCAACGAUGCGUAGCCGACCUGAGAGGGUGAUCGGCCACACUGGAACUGAGACACGGUCCAGACUCCUACGGGAGGCAGCAGUAGGGAAUCUUCCGCAAUGGGCGAAAGCCUGACGGAGCAACGCCGCGUGAGUGAUGAAGGUCUUCGGAUCGUAAAACUCUGUUAUUAGGGAAGAACAAAUGUGUAAGUAACUAUGCACGUCUUGACGGUACCUAAUCAGAAAGCCACGGCUAACUACGUG